UCUUCCUUCAAAAAAAAAAUAGAGUGGUCUCUUAGUCCAACAAUAUUUUUCCCGAUUUUUAGCAUGAGUGGUUGGUACAAAAAAAACACAUAUGAGUAGUGGGAGGAGCUUUAAAAAUGAAUAUGGUAAAAGGAGUUACACAAUUUAUGUGUAAAUUUUUCUAGGCUUCAAUGAUUCAAACAAUUUUUACUUGAAUAAAUAGUCCUUUCACAACUAAUUUGUUUACAAUUUUUUUUAAUGACAUCUUAUUUUUACCUUAAUUUGUAUCCUCUACUUUGAAGAGAGAUAUUUGAAGGGAUAGACAAAACUCACUUCUUAAGCACCCCUUCAAAUCUUCCUCACUUUAUGAAUAUGAGCAAUCAUUGUUUUGCUUCCUAACACGAAGAAAUUUAAUAAGUCUAUUAGUAGAUCAAGAAAAAUACUCAACUCACCUAAAAAAUUUAUUUAAAAAAAUGGAUGAAAAAUAAAAAACAUAAAAAUAAUAAAAGUUUUAUCACACAAAAUGGUAGGAGUAUAAUAUUACGUACCUAUAAAAAACAAAUGAAUAGAAGAAAAAGAAAUAGAGAUAAAUUAACAUUCGGUGGUAGAAUGUUAGAGUGAAUAAUGAUGGAAAACAAAAAUUUCAACAUAACCACAACUACUAUUGCAAAUAAGAGUUGUUCUUUCUUCCAACAAAAUUCUCCUAUCUCCAAAGCCUGCAAAUACUAUAUGAAGAAAAAAAAGAAGGAAUUCCAUUGUAGAAAUUGAAAGAAGGAAAUAUGAAAAUAGAAGGGACAGAAAGAGACAUGGU
rnacentral:lncRNA from 1 species